rnacentral:rRNA from 2 species
AGAUUGAACGCUGGCGGCAGGCCUAACACAUGCAAGUCGAGCGGUAACACAAGGGAGCUUGCUCCUGAGGUGACGAGCGGCGGACGGGUGAGUAAUGCCUAGGUAUCUGCCCAGUCGAGGGGGAUAACAGUUGGAAACGACUGCUAAUACCGCAUACGCCCUACGGGGGAAAGGAGGGGACCUUCGGGCCUUCCGCGAUUGGAUGAACCUAGGUGGGAUUAGCUAGUUGGUGAGGUAAUGGCUCACCAAGGCGACGAUCCCUAGCUGGUCUGAGAGGAUGAUCAGCCACACUGGAACUGAGACACGGUCCAGACUCCUACGGGAGGCAGCAGUGGGGAAUAUUGCACAAUGGGCGAAAGCCUGAUGCAGCCAUGCCGCGUGUGUGAAGAAGGCCUUCGGGUUGUAAAGCACUUUCAGCGAGGAGGAAAGGUUAAGUCUUAAUACGGCUUAGCUGUGACGUUACUCGCAGAAGAAGCACCGGCUAACUUCGUGCC